AUGAGGACGAAGUGACUGACACCACGCUUCCAGGAAAAGCCACUAAGCUUCAGCUUAAGAAAAACCGUACCGCAAACCGACACAGGUAGGCAGGGUGAGAAUCCCAAGGCGCUUGAGAGAACUCGGGUGAAGGAACUAGGCAAAAUGGCACCGUAACUUCGGGAGAAGGUGCGCCCUUUGGUGUGGUCACGUGCGUGACUGAGCAUCGAAGGGUCGCAGUAACCUGGCCGCUGCGACUGUUUAUCAAAAACACAGCACUCUGCAAACACGAAAGUGGACGUAUAGGGUGUGACGCCUGCCCGGUGCUGGAAGGUUAAUUGAUGGGGUCAGCCGCAAGGCGAAGCUCUUGAUCGAAGCCCCAGUAAACGGCGGCCGUAACAAUAACGGUCCUAAGGUAGCGAAAUUCCUUGUCGGGUAAGUUCCGACCUGCACGAAUGGCGUAACGACAGCGGCGCUGUCUCCACCCGAGACUCAGUGAAAUUGAAAUCGCUGUGAAGAUGCAGCGUUCCCGCGGCAAGACGGAAAGACCCCGUGAACCUUUACUAUAGCUUUACACUGAACGUUGAGUUCUUCUGUGUAGGAUAGGUGGGAGGCUAUGAAACCAGGACGCUAGUUCUGGUGGAGCCAUCCUUGAAAUACCACCCUGAAGUGCUUGACGUUCUAACCUAGGCCCGUAAUCCGGGUCAGGGACCGUGUAUGGUGGGUAGUUUGACUGGGGCGGUCUCCUCCCAAAGAGUAACGGAGGAGCACGAAGGUACGCUCAGCGCGGUCGGACAUCGCGCACUGUGUGCAAAGGCAUAAGCGUGCUUGACUGCGAGAUCGACGGAUCAAGCAGGUACGAAAGUAGGUCUUAGUGAUCCGGUGGUUCUGUAUGGAAGGGCCAUCGCUCAACGGAUAAAAGGUACUCCGGAUAACAGGCUGAUACCGCCCAAGAGUUCAUAUCGACGGCGGUGUUUGGCACCUCGAUGUCGGCUCAUCACAUCCUGGGGCUGUAGCCGGUCCCAAGGGUAUGGCUGUUCGCCAUUUAAAGUGGUACGCGAGCUGGGUUCAGAACGUCGUGAGACAGUUCGGUCCCUAUCUGUCGUGGGCGUUGGAGAUUUGAGGGGGGCUGCUCCUAGUACGAGAGGACCGGAGUGGACGUUCCGCUGGUGUUCGGGUUGUCAUGCCCAUGGCAUUGCCCGGUAGCUACGAACGGAAGUGAUAACCGCUGAAAGCAUCUAAGCGGGAAGCACGCCCCAAGAUGAGAUCUCCCGAGAGCUUGACUCUCCUAAAGGCACCAUCAAGACUAGGUGGUUGAUAGGUCAGGUGUGGAAGCGCAGCAAUGCGUUGAGCUAACUGAUACUAAUGAGCCGUGAGGCUUGACC
rnacentral:rRNA from 1 species